ensembl:snRNA U6 U6 spliceosomal RNA
GUGCUCACCGCAGCAGCACCUAUACUAAAAUUGGAACGACUCAGAGAUUGCAUGGCCUCUGCACAAGGAUGACACAAAAAUUCGUGAAGUGUUCUGUAUUUUC